GGGGCUGUAGCUCAGAUGGGAGAGCGCUGCAAUCGCACUGCAGAGGUCAAGGGUUCGAUUCCCUUCAGCUCCACCA
rnacentral:tRNA from 1 species